UAAGGGAGCUUCUAAAGAGUUCACAAAAGUGUCCAUGAGAUAAAGAAUAAGCUUUAAACAUCUGCCAAAUCUAAAGAACAUGAAGAUAACUUAGAGCCAUACCACGAGGGGAAGGAAUUUCUGACCUCCUUUGACAGUUGGACCUUCUGAUGUUCUGACUCCAUGGAUUUCAGGAACAAAAGACUGGGGAAGAAGUACUGUACUCCCCCUUCUUGAUGCGAGAUGAUAAAAUGUCUACGUGAGGAGAUAAAGCAAGGCGAAUGACACAGGCCUUGUGACAUAACGUUAGGCUCUUACUGAACUGCUGACUGUAAAUCAGAAGAAGGAUCACCUGUUUCUGGAAUGCUGUUGACCUGAAACCGUGGAUGUCAAAACUGCAGAUUUUAUUUUUAAAGGAUCUCUAUACCCAACCUGGGGCUUGAACCCACAACCCUGAGAUCAAGAGUAGCAUGCUCCACCGACAGAGCCAGCUAGGUGCUCCAGUCAUCAAAUUUCUAGAGAAUGUUGGAAACCAGAAGGUACCAGAGAAACAGCUCCAGAACUUUUUGCAAAAAUGAUCUACAUCCAAACGUUUAUAUUACCUGAAAUGAAUAUCCAGUGUGAAGUGAGGAAUAAGAUCUUAGGAAUGUAUGCAAGAACUCAAAAGAAAAAUAAAAGGUCUUCCAUAGCCGUGCAA